GACGAACGCUGGCGGCGUGCCUAAUACAUGCAAGUUGAGCGCUGAAGGUUGGUACUUGUACCAACUGGAUGAGCAGCGAACGGGUGAGUAACGCGUGGGGAACCUGCCUUUGAGCGGGGGACAACAUUUGGAAACGAAUGCUAAUACCGCAUAAAAACUUUAAACACAAGUUUUAAGUUUGAAAGAUGCAAUUGCAUCACUCAAAGAUGAUCCCGCGUUGUAUUAGCUAGUUGGUGAGGUAAAGGCUCACCAAGGCGAUGAUACAUAGCCGACCUGAGAGGGUGAUCGGCCACAUUGGGACUGAGACACGGCCCAAACUCCUACGGGAGGCAGCAGUAGGGAAUCUUCGGCAAUGGACGAAAGGCUGACCGAGCAACGCCGCGUGAGUGAAGAAGGGUUUCGGAUCGUAAAACUCUGUUGGUAGAGAAGAACGUUGGUGAGAGUGGAAAGCUCAUCAAGUGACGGUAACUACCCAGAAAGGGACGGCUAACUACGUG
rnacentral:rRNA from 1 species